AACGAACGCUGGCGGCAGGCCUAACACAUGCAAGUCGAGCGGACCUUUCGGGGUCAGCGGCUGACGGUUGAGUAACGCGUGGUAAUAUGCCCUUCUCUACGGAAUAGUCCUGGGAAACUGGGGGUAAUACCGUAUACGCCCUUUGGGGGAAAGAUUUAUCGGUGAAUGAUUAGCCCGCGUUGGAUUAGGUAGUUGGUGGGGUAAUGGCCUACCAAGCCGAAGAUCCAUAGCUGGUUUGAGAGGAUGAUCAGCCACACUGGGACUGAGACACGGCCCAGACUCCUACGGGAGGCAGCAGUGGGGAAUCUUAGACAAUGGGGGCAACCCUGAUCUAGCCAUGCCGCGUGAGUGAUGAAGGCCUUAGGGUUGUAAAGCUCUUUCAGCUGGGAAGAUAAUGACGGUACCAGAAGAAGAAGCCCCGGCUAACUCCGUG
rnacentral:rRNA from 1 species